GAAAACGGGUUCUGGAUGAUCGAAGAACAAGCGGUGGAGAAGAAGGUGGCAGGGACGGCUGCCUAGGGUUCUAAGGGUUGGGCGGCGGGGGGCCUCAUCCGGCCUAAGCUUGAGGCGGCGGCAGCUCGGCGCAGGGGCGCCUCGCGGCGGAAGGAGAGGGGUUCGGGUGGGCCGAGGGUCCAAAGGGGAGUGCCGCCGGCGACGUAGGUAGGUAGGUAGGCCUUCUGCGGCCGCGCCGGCGGCGCAGAGGAGGAGGUCCAUUAUAAGAUGACAUGCCUCGUGUAACUUUCUACCAAUUACGUUAGUUCCCCAACAAGUAGAGGACACUGUAUGGCUACCGAGUCAAGUAACAAUUAUACUUACGCAGUUACGGGCGUAGUCUCUUCAAGUAGCACGUGUAAGAACUGGGGUGUGUGUACAAAUAGGUCGGAUUAUACCCUCUAAUGUAGUUUUCAUUCUACCGCCUCAAGUCUCUGGUCUUGUCGAUGCUCUUCGGCUGUACUUCCCGGUGGUAGGUAAUGGCGCCACGAUCGAAGUUUGAGGUAGGUCUCUAUGGAUACAACUAAUAGCGAUACAUCUUACCAAUAUACGACUCUGACUUGUAAUACAAAGUGAGAGAGCACUACAAGACCUUACUGUCAAGACAUCAUAGUGUCUCAAGACGCAGAAUACAUAGAAGGCUCACUCGGAAAUCGACUAUUAUAAAGACCACUACAACUAGAACUAUGGCACGUGACUUAUUUCAUGGUGAAGAAUACAUAAUAAUGGGAACAGUUCUACAAGCCAUUCGAUUAAUGACCUCGAGACCUAUCUCGGUUCAUCUUCGAAAUGAUUGUAACGAAAGGUUUCAGUUUUGUAACGA
rnacentral:rRNA from 1 species